rfam:Schistosoma mansoni strain Puerto Rico chromosome W, complete genome
AUCCAGCUGACGAGUCCUGAAUAGAACGAAACACGCGUCAAACUGGAU